GCCAGCAUGGCUCAGUGGUUGAGCAUUGACCUAUGAACCCAGAGGUCAUGGUUUGAUUCCCUGUCAGGGCA
rnacentral:tRNA from 1 species